UGGGCUGGUCGAAAGACCCGGGUCCACCAAACGGCGGGUAAGACACCC
rfam:Roseburia sp. 831b contig000006, whole genome shotgun sequence.